rnacentral:rRNA from 1 species
CGGACCUUUUAGGUUAGUGGCAGACGGGUGAGUAACGCGUGGGAAGCUACCUUGUGGUAGGGAACAACAGUUGGAAACGACUGCUAAUACCCUAUGAGCCCUAUGGGGGAAAGAUUUAUCGCCAUGAGAUGUGCCCGCGUUAGAUUAGCUAGUUGGUAAGGUAAUGGCUUACCAAGGCGACGAUCUAUAGCUGGUCUGAGAGGAUGAUCAGCCACACUGGGACUGAGACACGGCCCAGACUCCUACGGGAGGCAGCAGUGGGGAAUAUUGGACAAUGGGGGCAACCCUGAUCCAGCCAUGCCGCGUGAGUGAUGACGGCCUUAGGGUUGUAAAGCUCUUUCAGCAGUGAAGAUAAUGACAUUAACUGCAGAAGAAGCCCCGGCUAACUUCGUGCCAGCAGCCGCGGUAAUACGAAGGGGGCUAGCGUUGUUCGGAAUCACUGGGCGUAAAGCGUACGUAGGCGGACUGAUCAGUCAGGGGUGAAAUCCCGGGGCUCAACCCCGGAACUGCCUUUGAUACUGUCAGUCUUGAGAUCGAGAGAGGUGAGUGGAACUCC